AUACAUGCAAGUCGAACGGUUGGUAGCAAUACCAAUAGUGGCGCACGGGUGCGUAACGCGUAACCAACCUACCCGAAUCUGGGGGAUAGCCCGCCGAAAGGCGGAUUAAUACCGCAUAAAACUGCAGCCUGGCAUCAGGUAACAGUUAAAGAUUUAUUGGAUUCGGAUGGGGUUGCGUGCCAUUAGCUAGUUGGCGGGGUAACGGCCCACCAAGGCGACAAUGGCUAGGGGAGCUGAGAGGCUGGUCCCCCACACGGGCACUGAGAUACGGGCCCGACUCCUACGGGAGGCAGCAGUAGGGAAUAUUGGGCAAUGGUCGAGAGACUGACCCAGCCAUGCCGCGUGCAGGAUGAAGGCUUUCUGAGUCGUAAACUGCUUUUAUCAGGAAAAAAAAAAGGGGAUGCGUCCUCUACUGACGGUACCUGGUGAAUAAGCACCGGCUAACUCCGUGCCAGCAGCCGCGGUAAUACGGAGGGUGCAAGCGUUGGCCGGAUUUAUUGGGUUUAAAGGGUGCGUAGGCGGCUGAUUAAGUCUGGGGUGAAAGCCCGUUGCUCAACAACGGAACUGCCCUGGAAACUGGUUAGCUUGAGUACAGACGAGGGUGGCGGAAUGGAUACUGUAGCGGUGAAAUGCAUAGAUAGUAUCCAGAACCCCGAUUGC
rnacentral:rRNA from 1 species